AGGAUUAACGCUGGCGGCGUGCAUGAAACAUGCAAGUCGAGCGCGGUGUGAUGCGGGGUAACCCAAGUCACAUCUAGCGGCGAACGGGUGAGUAACACGUGAGCAACCUACCUUCGAGUUGGGGAUAGCCCUGGGAAACCAGGAUUAAUACCCGAUGUGGUCACAACAGGACAUCCUGAUGUGAGUAAAGGCGUAAGCCGCUCGAUGACGGGCUCGCGGCCUAUUAGCUUGUUGGUGGGGUAACGGCCUACCAAGGCGAUGAUGGGUAGCUGGUCUGAGAGGACGAUCAGCCACACUGGGACUGAGACACGGCCCAGACUCCUACGGGAGGCAGCAGUUAGGAAUUUUCCGCAAUGGGCGAAAGCCUGACGGAGCAACGCCGCGUGAGUGAUGAAGACCUUCGGGUUGUAAAGCUCUGUCGGAGGGGAAGAACACAAUGACGGUACCCUCCAAGAAAGCCCGGCUAACUACGUGCCAGCAGCCGCGGUAA
rnacentral:rRNA from 1 species